rnacentral:sRNA from 1 species
UCUGAAGUCUGACGAGGAUGAGAACCUCCGGGGGCAAGAGGUUCGACUCGAGCGAAGCGAGAGAACGUUGCGCCAGCAACGGCCCGCAGGGCGAGCCACGCAGUGGCGAGUCAUCCUCUAUCACCG